GUGCUCAAUUUCAGCAGCACAUACACUAAAGUUAGAACAAUAUAGUGAAGAUUAGCGUGGCCCCUAUACAAGAAUAACAUGCAAAUUCUUGAAGUGUCUUAUGUUUUU
ensembl:snRNA U6 U6 spliceosomal RNA